UUAAAAAGUCUUGCGUGGGGGGGAGUACGAGCGCGGUGGAAACUCUCAAGAGUAGUGGGGGGCCCGCACAAGCGGGGGAGCACGUGUUUUAUAUGAAGAGCAACGAAGAGCAUUUCCAGGUCUUGACAUCUUGCGCCAACCCUAGAGAUAGGGCUUUCCUUCGGGAACGCAAUGACAGGUGGUGCAUGGUCGUCGUCAGCUCGUGUCGUGAGAUGUUGGGUUAAGUCCCGCAACGAGCGCAACCCUUGUUACUAGUUGCCAGCAUUAAGUUGGGCACUCUAGUGAGACUGCCGGUGACAAACCGGAGGAAGGUGGGGACGACGUCAGAUCAUCAUGCCCCUUAUGACCUGGGCUACACACGUGCUACAAUGGACGGUACAACGAGUCGCGACUCGCGAGGGCAAGCAAAUCUCUUAAAACCGUUCUCAGUUCGGACUGCAGGCUGCAACUCGCCUGCACGAAGUCGGAAUCGCUAGUAAUCGCGGAUCAGCAUGCCGCGGUGAAUACGUUCCCGGGCCUUGUACACACCGCCCGUCACACCAUGAGAGUUUGUAACACCCAAAGUCGUGAGGAGUAUACGCUCUUAGGAGCCAGCCGACCCU
rnacentral:rRNA from 1 species